GACGAACGCUGGCGGCGUGCUUAACACAUGCAAGUCGAACGGUGAAGCGCCUUCCUUUUUGGUGGGUGUGGAUGAGUGGCGAACGGGUGAGUAACACGUGAGUAACCUGCCCCCUUCUUCUGGAUAACCGCAUGAAAGUGUGGCUAAUACGGGAUAUUCUGGGUCUGUCGCAUGAUGGGUCUGGGAAAGAUAUUGUUUCGGUGGGGGAUGGGCUCGCGGCCUAUCAGCUUGUUGGUGGGGUGAUGGCCUACCAAGGCGGUGACGGGUAGCCGGCCUGAGAGGGUGGACGGGCACACUGGGAAUGAGACACGGCCAAGACUCCUACGGGAGGCAGCAGUGGGGAAUAUUGCACAAUGGGCGCAAGCAUGAUGCAGCGACGCCGCGUGAGGGAUGGAGGCCUUCGGGUUGUGAACCUCUUUCGCCAGUGAAGCAGGCCUGCCUCGUUUGUGGGUGGGUUGACGGUAGCUGGAUAAGAAGCGCCGGCUAACUACGUG
rnacentral:rRNA from 1 species